GAUGAACGCUGGCGGCGUGCCUAAUACAUGCAAGUCGAGCGAACAGACGAGGAGCUUGCUCCUCUGACGUUAGCGGCGGACGGGUGAGUCACACGUGGAUAACCUACCUAUAAGACUGGGAUAACUUCGGGAAACCGGAGCUAAUACCGGAUAAUAUCUUGAACCGCAUGGUUCAAUAGUGAAAGACGGUUUUGCUGUCACUUAUAGAUGGAUCCGCGCCGCAUUAGCUAGUUGUUAAGGUAACGGCUUACCAAGGCGACGAUGCGUAGCCGACCUGAGAGGGUGAUCGGCCACACUGGAGCUGAGACACGGUCCAGACUCCUACGGUAGGCAGCAGAAGGGAAUCUUCGGCAAUGGGCGGAAGCCUGACGGAGCAACGCCGCGUGAGUGAUGAAGGUCUUCGGAUCGUAAAACUCUGUUAUUAGGGAAGAACAAAUGUGUAAGUAACUAUGCACGUCUUGACGGUACCUAAUCAGAAAGCCACGGCUAACUACGUG
rnacentral:rRNA from 1 species